AGCAAAUGCAGAAGCCCUAUGAAAGCCUGCCUGGCACUCCAGAAACUGCAGGAGGCUCAUGUGGCUGGAGUGGAGUGAGGAAGGGGUGGAGGCCAAGAGAUGAGGUCAAAAAGGCGGUAAGAGCCAGGUCUUGCGGAGCCUCCUGGGCUACUUGCUUCUACUGCGCGUGAGAUGGAAAACAUUGGAAGCCUUUGGGCUGAGAGGCAGAGAAGUGUUGGCCUCGAGCUCUGCCUAUGAUUUUCCUGCAGAACUAAACUACCACACCUUAACCUGCUCUCCUCAGGGGUGAAUCAAUUCAGUGUCUUUCCUCUUGGCAGGUGAGUCUCAUUCUCCAAUUGUUUUGCCACUUUGGGGCAUCCCCUGAGCCUUCUGAGAGGUUGAGCGCAAGGCAUAUUUCUUCUAACAACUAGCUCACUUUAUUGACAUUCACCUACCUGAAAGCAGGAAGCUGGAUCAGAUAACUUUGGGGACUUCCUUUCAGUUUUGACUUUAUGUGCGCCCUCUCGGGACCUGGCUUAGGAUUCUGCUCAUGGUAAAUAUUUGGUAAGCCUUACUGGUUGUAUGACUCAUGAGUGUGGUUCCUAAUAAGAGUCACAGAAAACAGUAAAAGCAGUUCCAGGAAUUUGCUGCUUACUCAGUAGUGGUGGAUGCAGCAGGGAAAAUAAUGCAGGCUUCCUGCCCAUUUCCCAGCCACUUCUCCGUAUAUGCACCUGGUCACAAAGGGAUGGUCACAAAGACCAUAAGACAGACCCCAGAGACCCCAGGCAACGUGUUCCCUGGCAGGGAGUGUGUCCUGCGGAUGGUGUUCCUCAAGGAGCACAGGCUUCUUAGGGGCGGCUUUCACUCAACUUGGAAGGGAGGUCUAGGUAGAGGGGUUCACUCAAGUGGACUCCUUCUCAUUUCCUCGUUUCUUUCUAAGGAAGCCACUUUUAAGUGUGAUGGCAUUGAGACUGUGUAUUGCUGCACCCCAGUGCCAGUGAACCUAUGAAAUACAGCCGUGCUCACUCUGUGCCUCACAUGGAAUCUCUCUAGAAGUAACUGGGAGGCCAGAGCAGGAGGGAGCCCAAGCAGUGGAGUGAUGGGGCCAAAAUGAUCAUCUUUUGAGAGCUCAGACUCAUCAACAUUCAACCUUUGCAGAGGCACUCAAGGCCUUUACUUUUGCAGAAAGUGCCUGAACUAGUCUGUCAAACACCUUCCAAAACUGGCCCUUUAUUCUUUGGAAAGUUAUUCACUACUCCCGUUAUUCAUCUUGCUCUUGUGUCUCUGACGUUUUAUUUAAGCUCAUACCACUUGCUCAGAACACCCCCAAUCAACCUCUAUCUUCUCUCAUCAUUCUCAGGGCUCCUGAAAUUACCUCUUCCAGGAAGUCUUCCCUGACUAACAAGAACAAUGAAACUUCCUGGCUUCCUUCUACACUAACCGCUCUCCUCAAAUAACUUCCUUUUUGUUUUCACAGAACAUAAAUGCUUCAAUUUAUUUAUUAGUUUAAUGUGUGUUUUUAGACUCUCAGGAAGGAUGUAAUUAUAGAUGAUGACUUCUGAGAAGUAGGAUGGUGUCCAGCUUGAUGUGCAAAUGGCCCCAACAUAUCAGCAGCAAACAAAGGCUGUUGCCACAGGUGUGACUUUGCAAGUAAUUGCUCAGACUUUGCCUUCAGAACCUGUUCUAUAUUUCCAGUGGUGCUGCUUAUAUGUGCAGCAUUAGCCAGAUUCUUCAGUAGUAUUCAUUCAACAAAUGCUUAUUGAGAGCCUUUUAUGAGCCAAGUACUGUUAGGUACUGGAGAUGUAGUGCCCAUUGAAUUUUUCUUUGAGAAAUUUUAUUUUUACCAAGCUCCCAAGAGGUAGAACUUUAUGUCAUUUUUAAAGUAAGUGAUUUCAGGCAAGUUUCAUAAAACAAAUCUAUAUAUAAAAGUCACCCAGGCUGCAGUGAUCUCAGCUCACUGCAACCUCCACUCCCCACCACUCCCCCACCCCGCCUGCCAGCUCAAGUGAUCCUCCCACCUCAGCCUCCCAAGUGGCUGGGACCACAGGCGUACACCACCACACCCAGCCUUUUUUUUUUUUUUUUUUUUUUUUUUAGUAGAAAUUGGGUCUCACCAUGUUGCCCAGGCUGGUCUCAAACACCUGAGCUCAAGUUAUCCACCCACCUCAGCCUCCCAAAGUGCUAGGAUUACAGGCAUGAGACACUGUGCCUGGCUGAAAUUUUUAAGAUUAUUGUGGUGGACCACCAAUUUGGUGGCCCACACUGAACUAUUUCUCUAAGUAUUUAUACCCUUGUGUAGUCUCCUAUCCCUCUUGAUUUUGAGCUGGGCUGUGAUCUGCUUUAAUUAACAGGAUAUAGUAGAAGUGGUGUUGUGCCAAUUCCAGGUGUAAGGCCACGAAGAGCUGGCAGUUUCUGCUUUUGUGGUUUUGAGAUCCCUUAGCUACCAUGAGCAAAGACCUGCUACUCUGCUGGAGAAACUGUGUGGAGAGUCCACUUGGAAAGGGAGUGGCUCUGAGACUACAGGGAAAGGGAGAGAAGCUCAGACAUUCCAGUGUCCCAAAGAACCCAGUCUCCAGCCAACCCAACUGAAUACAGACACAUGAGUGAACACCAGCAAGACCAGCAGACCAUCCAGCUAAGCCCAGCUCAGAUUAUAGAAUUGUGAGCAAAUAACCACUUGGUUGUUUUAAGCCACUAGUUUGGGGAUUUCUUUUUUUUUAAUACGAGCAACUGGUAACUUAAAAAUCUCAUCACUUCUGAAGACAGGAGAGUAAUAUACGAUCUUCCAAAGCAGUUUCAAGAUAAUUUGAUAGAUUACAUGUUUAGACAUUUAAAAUCAAGCAGAGGCCAGGUGUGGUGGCUCACACCUGUAAUCCUAGGCAUUUUGGCAGGCCAAGGCAAGAGGAUCAUUUGAGCCCAGGAGUUCGAGAUCAGCCUGUACAACACAGUGAGACCUCGCCUGUACAAACAAACAAACAAACAAUCAACAAAUAAAAUAAAAUAAAACAAGCAGAGUCAUGGUAGCAAUAAACCUUUUAAAAAAACCUAGCCCCCUCCCCCUCUCCCUCUCCCUCUCCACGGUCUCCCUCUCCCUCUCUCUCCACGGUCUCCCUCUUCCUCUCCCUCUCUCUCCACGGUCUCCCUCUGAUGCCGAGCCGAGGCUGGACUGUACUGCCGCCAUCUCGGCUCACUGCAACCUCCCUGCCUGAUUCUCCUGCCUCAGCCUGCCGAGUGCCUGGGAUUGCAGGCGCGCGCCGCCACGCCUGACUGGUUUUCGUAUUUUUUGGUGGAGACGGGGUUUCACUGUGUUGGCCGGGCUGGUCUCCAGCUCCUGACCGUGAGUGAUCUGCCCACCUCGGCCUCCCGAGGUGCCGGGAUUGCAGACGGAGUCUCGCUCACUCAGUGCUCAAUCUUGCCCAGGCUGGAGUGCGGUGGCAUGAUCUCAGCUCGCUACAACCUCCACCUCCCAGCCACCUGCCUUGGCCUCCCAAAGUGCCGAGAUUGCAGCCUCUGCCCGGCCGCCACCCCAUCUGGGAAGUGAGGAGCGUCUCUGCCUGGCCGACCAUCGUCUGGGAGGUGAGGAGCCCCUCUGCCCGGCCGCCCAGUCUGGGAAGUGAGGAGCGCCUCUUCCCGGCCGCCAUCCCGUCUAGGAAGGGGGGAGCAUCUCUGCCCGGCCGCCCAUCGUCUGAGAUGUGGGGAGCGCCUCUGCCCCGCCGCCCCGUCUGGGAUGUGAGGAGCGCCUCUGCCCGGCCGCGACCGCAUCUGGGAACUGAGGAGUGUCUCUGCCCGACUGCCACCCCGUCUGGGAGGUGAGGAGCGUCUGAGAAGUGAGGAGCCCCUCCGCCUGGCAGCCGCCCCGUCUGGGAAGUGAGGAGCGUCUCCGCCUGGCAGCCGCCCCGUCCGGGAGGGAGGUGGGGGGCAGCCCCCGCCCGGCCAGCUGCCCCGUCCGGGAGGGAGGUGGGGGGCAGCCCCUGCCCGGCAGCCGCCCCGUCCGGGAGGUGGGGGGCGCCUCCGCCCAGCCGCUGCCCUGUCUGGGAGGUGGGGGGCGCCUCUGCCCGGCCGCCCCCUCUGGGAAGUGAGGAGCCUCUCUGCCCAGCCGCCACCCCGUCUGGGAGGUGUACCCAACAGCUCAUUGAGAACAGGCCAUGAUGACGAUGGCGAUUUUGUCGAAUAGAAAAGGGGGAAAUGUGGGGAAAAGAAAGAAAAAUCAGAUUGUUACUGUGUCUGUGUAGAAAGAAGUAGACACAGGAGACUCCAUUUUGUUCUGUACUAAGAAAAAUUCUUCUGCCUUGGGAUGCUGUUAAUCUAUAACCUUACCCCCAACCCCGUGCUCUCUCAAACAUGUGCUGUGUCAACUCAGGGUUAAAUGGAUUAAGGGCGGUGCAAGAUGUGCUUUGUUAAACAGAUGCUUGAAGGCAGCAUGCUCCUUAAGAGUCAUCACCACUCCCUAAUCUCAAGUACCCAGGGACACAAACACUGCGGUCGGCCACAGGGUCCUCUGCCUAGGAAAACCAGAGACCCUUGUUCACAUGUUUAUCUGCUGACCUUCCCUCCACUAUUGUCCUAUGACCCUGCCAAAUCCGCCUCCCCAAGAAACACCCAAG
rnacentral:lncRNA from 1 species